CAGGAUGCCAAUGAAAGAGGUUCUGUCUAGCCAUGACACCUUGAAUUAGGAAGAAGAUCUAAGACUGUGGAGUGUUUUGAGGCCUGUUGCUAUACUGAGAAGGCAUCCACAGCACAAAUGUUAUCUGAAACACCAUUUUUUCCUUUUAAUUAUUUGCUUCCAGUAUGCUAAUUGCAAAGCUGUAAUAACAAUCAAAUGUUCUUUCCCGAGGUAAUUGUAUGUGCUAGGAUAAUUAACCCCAGAGUUACACAUGUGAAUGUGCCACACUGAAGUAUCAUUUCUUAAAGUGCUUGCUGGUUUGAGAGGUGCUUCUUAUAACACAGCAUAUUUUCUUUAGAAAUAAUAUAAAAGUUGAAAUUAAAUAAAGCCAUAUUUUUAUUGCAAA